CCUGUGGAGAGCCAUAUAAACCAAAGUAGCAAGAUAGUGGCGAAAUGGGGCUCGUAGAAGCAGGAA
rnacentral:ncRNA from 1 species